UGGUAUAUUUACAUUUCACGUAGGUCACUCUAGGAUCCAACCUACGCUCUCUUCGUUGCCUUUAUUAACCUCUGAGAUGUGAUAAGUUUAUGUUUUGCUGUAGGCCUACAUUUACUAUAGCCUACUGACGUAAGACUCACAGGUGGGCAAAGUGCGGCACGACAGUAAUUUAUUUAUUUUUUUUUUUGCGGCCCGCGAUAUAAAAGCCUUAUGUGUGCGGGACCGCCAACCAUCUAUGAAACGCCUAGUUUUUACGGCCCGACACCGAUCAUCUAUAAAAGUAAUAUUAAAAAGAAGAAUAAAAUCAUAUAAAGGCAGUGCAUGAAGGUUUUUUGGACUGGAACCAUCAACAUUUUGGUGCUUUCACCGUUUGGGCUUUUGACCGAUUUUUGUGCCCACAACUGCCCUAAAUUCAUAAGUAACGUAAACAGAAACGGAAGCGUUCGUGUAAUAGUGCACAUUGUGCAAAUAAUAUUAUUUGAUUGAACACAAUUACACUGUGGAAAGUUUUGUUACUAAAACGAGAGAUUUAGAACGUGGGCGUUGGUAUUCGACAAAAGAAGUACAGGAAGCUUACGGUAUGCAUCUCCUACAUUAAUCAAGUUUAUAUAAUGGCUUAUUAUGAAAUUAGUAAUCCCGAUGCUAUGAUUCAAUAUUCAGACGUCUUGUGUAUAUUUAGAAGGAUACAAUAAUUAUUCUUUGAACUAAAUUUGAAUUUUGAACUAAGCAUUCUUUGAUAAAAUUUAAAAACUCUGAAAUUAUCUUGGCUUAUUAUGAAAUCGCUCAAAUAAUAAUUUCUGGCAUUUACAAUCUCCAAUAAUGCGAUGCCCAGAUCAAAAUAAAUGUAUGUUCUGGUAAUUAAAA